CGCGUUACAUCGGGAGCGUUCGUUUUUGUGUUGAAGACACCCCGGCUGAGAGCUGGAAGCUGUGCGGUAUUUCCAGUUGACUCCUCAAAAGCACCUUCCUUUGGAAUCGCUGGGACGGAUAAUGAUGAAGACGAGUAGAUCAUCCACGCCCCCCCCCUUGAAAUGGCUUGUGUGACUCCAUGGGCCAGAUUAACCAUCUACGGACCCCCGGAGCUGCUGAAACCCCCAGGGCAACGUGCAAUAAAGGUCUCCAGAAGUAAAAUGACAUGUAACAAUAGAAAGAAGCACAGGUGUAAAUAAUAAAAUUAACGAUGGCUGAAUUCCAUUUAGCUGCUUCAGUUUCCGAUUCCUGGUGUUGUGCAUGCUGGCUCACUGUCACACUGUAAUGACUUAUACUUUAACAAAACAGAGCCACCGUUAAUGUUAUUAGUAACACCUGUGCUUUCAUACUACGACAAGUCAAAAUGUGUGCAGUGAAAAUAUAUAUAUUAAUCUGAAAUAUGUGGCAGGAUUGGUCAUGAGGCAUUGGAUGUCAUCUGUUACUGCAGGAAGAAACAGCCUCUGUUAGAGGUUCAUACCAGCACUGCACAUGAUCAAAGCCCAGAGGCUUGACAUGUAUCCACCCAGCAGAUUUAAUGUGAAGUGACGCAUAUUUCUCUUUUGAUGGAGAUUAUUGUAUGUGAGUUAAAGGCUGCUAUAGCUUGACCCCUGUGUAUAUGUUUGUUUCUUCCAACAUUUUGUAUUAAUGUUCUUUCAUUUUCAGAGAUCAUUUAUGCCACCUAUCCCCAUUCUCUCUGGCUGCUUGUGCACGUCCAAAAGUGUUGGUUACUCAUUGAUUUGGAAUAAUCUGUGUGAACAUUGUUAAAUGGGCAGCAUGUACCCUUUUAGAGGAUUUAUAACACCAGAAAUGUAUCCUGGUGAAAGUUGUGUGCCACUGAAAGUUUUUCUUUGUGUUUGCAGAGCUGUGCGUUUUACUUGAGCAACUCUUUUGUCCCAUUUGUGAGUGCUGGUGUUUGUUUGCAGUGAGGAAAUCAAAUGACCGUCAAAGAGAAGGAAUUAAGAUCACUGAUGAAAAAGAGGGAAGUUUGUUUAAGCCUUGUGAAUGCACUGAACGACUGCUCUGCUCGCUGUAUACGCAAACUAAUUUGCCUGUCUGGUGUUAUCUUGUAUUGGCAUUUUACAAACCAGACAGCCUUAUUGAUCUGGCUUAAUAAAAACCAAUCCCCAUUUGCUCUGCGUAAGAGUAUGAAAACA